CCUACGGGAGGCAGCAGUGAGGAAUAUUGGUCAAUGGCCGUAAGGCUGAACCAGCCAAGUAGCGUGAGGGAAGACUGCCCUAUGGGUUGUAAACCUCUUUUAUGCGGGGAUAAAGGUGUCCACGUGUGGAUGUUUGCAGGUACCGCAUGAAUAAGGACCGGCUAAUUCCGUGCCAGCAGCCGCGGUAAUACGGAAGGUCCGGGCGUUAUCCGGAUUUAUUGGGUUUAAAGGGAGCGUAGGCCGGUCUUUAAGCGUGCCGUUGAAACUGGCGUUCUUGAGUGAGCGAGAAGUAUGCGGAAUGCGUGGUGUAGCGGUGAAAUGCAUAGAUAUCACGCAGAACUCCGAUUGCGAAGGCAGCAUACCGGCGCUCAACUGACGCUCAUGCACGAAAGCGUGGGUAUCGAACAGGAUUAGAUACCCCUGUAGUC
rnacentral:rRNA from 1 species